rnacentral:piRNA from 1 species
CAUCUGCCUCCCGACUGCUGGGAUUAAAG